rnacentral:lncRNA from 1 species
GGAGACCCGGGACAGAGGACUGCUGUCUGCCCUCCCUCUUCACUCUGCCUACCUUGAGGAUCUGUCACCCCAGCCAUGAGGACCUUUGCCCUCCUCACUGCCAUGCUUCUCCUGGUGGCCCUGUAGGCUCAGGCAGAGCCACUUCAGGCAAGAGCUGAUGAAGCUGCAGCCCAGGAGCAGCCUGGAGCAGAUGAUCAGGAAAUGGCUCAUGCCUUUACAUGGCAUGAAAGUGCCGCUCUUCCGCUUUCAGACUCAGCGAGAGGCUUGAGGUGCAUUUGCGGAAGAGGAAUUUGCCGUUUGUUAUAACGUCGCUUUGGGUCCUGCGCCUUUCGUGGUACACUCCACCGGAUCUGCUGCCGCUGAGCUUGCAGAAUCAAGAAACAUAAGCUCAGAAUUUACUUUGAGAGUUAAAAGAAAUUCUUGUUACUCCUGUACCUUGUCCUCCAUUUCCUUUUCUCAUCCAAAAUAAAUACCUUGUUGCAAGAUUUCUCUCUUU